rnacentral:rRNA from 1 species
UACGGAGGGGGCUAGCGUUGUUCGGAAUUACUGGGCGUAAAGCGCACGUAGGCGGCUUUGUAAGUUAGAGGUGAAAGCCCGGGGCUCAACCCCGGAAUUGCCUUUAAGACUGCAUCGCUAGAAUUGUGGAGAGGUAAGUGGAAUUCCGAGUGUAGAGGUGAAAUUCGUAGAUAUUAGGAAGAACACCAGUGGCGAAGGCGGCUCACUGGUCCGGUACUGACGCUGAGGUGCGAAAGCGUGGGGAGCAAACAGG